CCGCCCCGCCCGGCCUCCGCUCGCCACACGCCGGCCCGCGGGGCCCGCUGCCGACGCCGGCGCCCCGCGGCGGUGCGGGCGGCAGGGCCGGGCCGGGCGGCAGCGAGGGAAGGGCCGGGGCCGCCGCCGCCGCCUCCCGGCGCUGCGCAGGGCGCCGCUGGGGCCUGGGCGGGAGCGGCCGAGAGGAGCGUGCGCGCUCCCUCGCCCCUCCGCGGAGGCUUCUCCUUGUCCCCCGGCGCCGUGUGUGUGUGUGUGUGUGUGUGUGUGUGUGUGUGUGUGUGUGUGUGUGUGUACACACGCACCCAGGACACAGGCCGUGCCCGCCGCCCGGGACGGCCGCCCGGGGCCCCGCGGCGGCAGCGCGUCGCCGGCGCGGCGCGGCGCGGCGCGGCGCGGCGCGGCCUUGGGGGCCCCGGGGCCCCUCGCAAGGCGGCUGCGUCCUGCAGAGCGGGGCCCGGCCGGGGUGGGGUGCGAUAAGCCCUUGUCGCCCGCUGUCCCCGCUCGGCGGUGUGUGCCACGAGCCCCCGGGAGCCCAGCGCCGCUCCACGUGCGUCUCAGCCCCGGCCGGCGAGAGGUUCAUAGCAGGCCCAGGCGCAUGGGUGGAGGCGGUAGCUGUCUGAAGUAGCCAAGAUCUUCAGUUGAUAUCGCUAAUUACCAUCUUAUGGUGCCAAAGUUUGCAAGCCUCUGUGCAGCACAGAAUGAAAUGACAUAUUCCCUGCCCCGAGGAGUUUACAAUCUGAGUGGAUCUGACAACACGAGGGUGUGACAGGACACCACGGGGUUGCAGCAGCAGGAUCAUGCUGUUGAGGACUUAACUUACUCCAGGACUACAGAUGAGAGAAAGCAACAGCUCCAGAGGCCUCUUGGGAUGGCAGGAUGGAUCUGACAACGCAAGGUGUGACAGAAUGCCACAAGGUUGCAGCAACAGAAUCCCGGGAUCCAGUGCCCAGACAAAGGAACAGCAUUGAGUGACAUUACUGGGAGAGUGUUGGUGACAUCACAGGGAACAGAGUUAUGACAGUGAUGGAUGCUAUACUGUGUCAACAGUCUCAUGGGAUUUGACAUGCAUCUGCUAUUGAGACGCAGAAGUCAAAGUCUUCCUGGAGGUGCUGAGUGCAAGACUCAUUUCCAGAAACCUGAGAGUGGAAACACCCUUGGAGGGUAAAGAAGCCAUUCAGAAAUCACAUUUCCCAGCUGGGAGUGCACGCUCUGUAAAAUCCUUCAGUAUAAUAAAACCAGGCAUAUGAACCACAUUUACUCUGAAAAUGUCCCAUCUCCAUGACACCAGCACCAGUGGAGGAGAUGGGAUCCUGGGUUGCCCAGCCCAGUGCUCUCCCACCGUCCUUUCUCUCCGUCCUGGCAAAUCAGCAGCGAGGUGCUGGGAUAACUGACCAACUCCCUAUUUGCGUCCUGCUUUUCAUUUUCAAACUGCUUGCCGGCGGGAGGCCGGGCUGCCUGCAAUCUGUGCUGACGGGAGCCCGUGCAGAGCCCAUCGCCAGGCCUGGCAGUGGCGAGAAGCAGAUGGUGCCGUGUUCCUGCAAACUCCCCUUUCUGAGGUGUCCUGUUCUGCCCAGCACAGGCGGACAUCAAAAGCCGAUAUUGCUCUUUGGCAGUAGCAUUCGCCAAACAGCCUGGGAUGUGACAAUUUUGUGUGUGUCUACUGCAGCUUUUCCCCUCCCUGGUUGCCCAAGAGGUUUUGUCCAUGGAAAUUUUAGUUUAAAAAAUAAGGAAGUGCAGGUCCUACUUGUUGGACACAAACACGAUGCCAUAUGGCUCGGGAGAAGCAUGCUCUGACACAGGAGCGCGGCGUGUCCUACCUCCAGCCCCAAGAGUGGGGGUGCAUGUCAGCCAGCACCCUGCCUGACAGCAGUCUUCAGGGACGUGUGCUAGCUGCACACAAGCCAAGCCUCAUUAUAAGACAACAGAGAUAGACCCAUAGAAAAACAUGUCUAUGGCCAGGCUGGAUUCCUUGAGGAUCCCCAGCAAACAGCAGGCAUGUGGCCACCCCCACAAGGACCCGCGUGUCUGUCGGCUCUCAUUACACAGACUUCAGCACAGGAGAAAGGAGAAAAAUGCGAAAGCACUGACUGUGCAUCAGGGAACAGAGAAGGGCAGUUUGCCCUUUCUGCUGCCAGCACAAGGGACUCUGUCCCUCAGGAGCAUUGAUCUUGAAGUCAACAGGAUUAGGCACCUGCUGGAAGUUAAGCAGAUGCUUACCUGUGCAGCUGGAUCAGCACCAGCUCCAUGUGUGGGUGAGCACUGACUAAUGACUCUUGUGAUGGUGCUAAAGAAAAGCAGACAGACAUACGGAUGGGGUCAGCUGAACUUCCAGGCAUCCACCAAAACAUUUGCAAUAGCCCAAUACCUCAAAGCAAUUAUAUGUAUAUUUUUGAAUGAAUAUAUAUUUGGGGAGGGCAAAAAAAAGAGACAUAGUUCAGCUCCAAAGACCUACACACAGAGGGGCAGCAUAGCUAAUGCUUGUGCUCACUCUCCCCAGUAGCUGCAAACACCCUUGGCUCUUCAUAGCCUUUGCCUUACAUGCAUGCACGCAUGCACACAUGCAUAUCCACACACACACACAGAUAUAAAUAUAUAUAUAUAUACACAUAUAUAUAUAUAUCCUUCACAUUACUGGUGUGAAGUUAGUCCUGAAUAUUUGUGUGGGAGUAGGUCAAAGGAGUGAGAGAACAAGCUUCCUGCUUUGACGGCCUCUCCAGGGGAAUCUGCUCCUGAGCGCAAUGGGAAGAAGGGAUGCAGCAGUCCUGUGACCUCCUUCCCCGGCUUGUUGUGGAUGACCAUGUGAGUCACCCCAGCACGGCGCUCCGUGACUCCGAUGGGCAUCUACACAGCAGGUGGCCUGUAUGUCUGUCUGUUACAUUUUUAACAUUAUGUGCUCCAGUUGCAGCUUAAAAAUGACCAAGCGAUCUUUAUUCUAAAUGCAAGAAGUGCAUUUCAUUUGCAUAGCUCUGAUGGGAUUAAAGGAGGCAUUAGAGUAAUUAAGGUCACUGGGGUUUGCCAUUUGCUUAAUCCCUAAAUCCAGCUCUGCUCCAACAUUAUUCAGUAAUAUCAUGGGGCAAAAGGUCACUGCAACAAUAUAUGCCUGUCUAACCUUCCAUCAUAAAGAGAUAAAUGAUUUUUGGACAGUUAAAAGGAAUAAAGGCAGAAUGCUUUGUGUGCACAGCAUAGGCGCAAAUCAGUGACACCACCACACCUGCAGACAAGGUAGGUAGGUAGGUAGAAGCAGCCCCUCGCGCAGCAGGUGGCACACAGAAGACAGUAGGAGCCAUAAAGAGCUGUGUCUCCAUGGGUUUGCAGCACAGGCAGGUUUUCAUAUGUUACAGGUGAGAGCAUGUCCUGGAUGUGACAAUGGCAGACUUAGACCGACAUGCAUGGUUUGUUAUGAAUGGUUUUUGCACUUUGCACUGGUAAUGUGAAAAUGAUAGAAUAUAACAAAAAUUGUCAUGAUGCCGCACUGUUUUCCUUUCAUUGUUCUGACACCUGACUUCAAAAAAAAAAACAAAGAAGCAACUUUUCCUGCUUUCAAAAUUCUAGGUUUGGUAAAAUCAAAAAUAUUUAACUAAGGAGAAUAUAAGAAAUGAAUACAUGUGAAAUUUUAAGUUUCACAUUUGUAAUACUGCUAUUUGAAGAAAACUAGAAAAAAGGAAAAAAAAUGCCUAUGACCAUGUGUGUCAGUGAAAAUCUGUUUUAUAAAGGACAUAUACAUUAUUUUCCACAUAGACUUCACAAGAAACUUUGCCUCAGAUACCAUCUGAAUCCAAAGCAAACCAUGUAUCAUACUAUCUCUUAUGUUUAUCUGUUUUUUUCUGGUUCUAGAUGGGAAGAUUUAUAAUACUUUUUAUGCACAAGAGUUUAUAUGGUUUCGGGAAAAAAACCCCAAAUGAUCCACAUCCUACGUAGGCAUUGCAGUAAAGUUCUUUCAGAGUUUAAAAUACUAAAUGAUCCCUCUGUUAAAAUGAUAGUAAUAAAUGCACAGGCAGCAUUUGGAAGAUAUUGUAUUGUUGAAUAUUAUGUGUUCUUCUCAGUAAGCUUGCAGCAGUUAUUCCUUUUAAUUAAAUCUACAUGCAUUUCA